UAGGGAAUAUUGCACAAUGGAGGAAACUCUGAUGCAGCCAUGCCGCGUGUGUGAAGAAGGCCUUCGGGUUGUAAAGCACUUUCAGAGGGGAGGAGAAUGACGUUACCCUCAGAAGAAGCACCGGCAAACUCCGUGCCAGCAGCCGCGGUAAUACGGAGGGUGCAAGCGUUAAUCGGAAUAACUGGGCGUAAAGGGCAUGCAGGCGGGACGUCAAGCAGGGUGUGAAAUCCCCGGGGCUCAACCCGGGAACUGCACUCUGAACUGACGUUCUGGAGUAUCGCAGGGGGAGGCGGAAUUCCAGGUGUAGCGGUGGAAUGCGUAGAUAUCUGGAAGAACACCAAAGGCGAAGGCAGCCUCCUGGGCGAAUACUGACGCUCAUAUGCGAAAGCGCGGGGAGCAAACAGGAUUAGAUACCCUGGUAGU
rnacentral:rRNA from 1 species